rnacentral:rRNA from 1 species
UACGUAGGGGGCAAGCGUUGUCCGGAAUCAUUGGGCGUAAAGCGCGUGUAGGCGGUUCGGUAAGUCUGCUGUGAAAGUCCAGGGCUCAACCCUGGGAUGCCGGUGGAUACUGUCGAACUAGAGUACGGAAGAGGCGAGUGGAAUUCCCGGUGUAGCGGUGAAAUGCGCAGAUAUCGGGAAGAACACCGGUGGCGAAGGCGGCGCUCUGGACCGAGACUGACGCUGAGGCGCGAAAGCGUGGGGAGCAAACAGG